rnacentral:lncRNA from 1 species
CAACAUUAAAUGAACUCAGUAGGUUGUGUUCAUAUAUUUAUCUAUUUAAAUAUAUGUGAAACACUAAAGAAAAAGAGUCUAUAAAUUUGAGAGGGAAGAAAACAGGAAUAUAAAAAUGUUGGGCGGGCUUAGAAAGAGGAAAUGUAAUAACAAAGUAAUAUAUUUUAAUUAAAUAUAUAAAAGAAAAACAUACAGAGUCUGAAAAUACGAGUUUCAGUAUAUACUAUUUCCAGAUCUACAUAUUUUGUACUCUAAGUUUCUUUUCCCCAUAUUUUUGUCAUAUAGUUUUGUACAAUAUUUUGUUUCAAGCUUUACUAAAAGUGACAAGGAAACUGAUCCCAUGAACUCUUCUGGAAGUGUCUAUUUCCAUGCCAAUGAAUAUCUGCUUUGCAUUCGUAUAGAUAGGUGGGACCCAUGCUUUCUUCCCACAUGCAUUCAAAGGCUAGUGAUGGAUUAACACAAUCAAUUGUUUAUCUCAUACUUAAAGUCAAUGGGAUGCAGAAAUCCUCCAUUUAAAACUUAAUUUAGCAAAAUUUUAAUAUUCAGUAUAAUAUUUAUUUGAGAACAAAAGGUUAAAUUGUUGGAUAAAAAUAAGCAGUGAGUAACAGUGUAAAUUCUUGAAAAUGGAGCCAGAACUUAUUUGGAUCUAAGUAUCCACAAAUGUUUUCUAUGAGAGCCCUGACAGUAACUUAGUUAAGCCCUGAAUUCCAUGUGUUAUCUGUAUAACUCCUUAGACAUAAGCAAGCAUGAGGUGCUCUGUUACCAGAAAACUUUAUUUUCACAUCAUCAAUAAAAGGCUUUGGAUGAGGCUUAGUGGUGGAGCGCCUGACGCACAUAAGACCCUGGGUUCAAUGCUGAGGCACGCAACAGAGAAAAUACCAUAAUCAAUAAUCGUCUGAUACUAGUGUUUUAACUGUUUAAUUGUGAUGUGGAGGUCAUGUUGACUUUAUUUUACAAGUGAGUGAACUUAGGUCCUGAGCCUUAGGUCACCACGCAGAAUCAAAGUGAUGAAGUCAUACUCCUACAACUACUGUUAUUUAGUGUGACUGGCAGGCAUGUCACUAACAGAGCAAUGUUGUGAACUUUAUUAUAUGUCAGCUAUUCCAUUUACUUUAUCAUCUUCCUAUGCUGCUUAUCUUUCUGCUGUGAAAAAAUACUUUGUUGAAAUGAGUGUAAGUCAGGAAGGGUUUUCUUUGGCCCAUAGCUCUAGCACACUGUCCAUCUCGACUGGGAAAUCGUGGCAAUAAAACCACAGGGCAGCUGAGAUCAUUCCAUCCAUACUCAGAGAGCAGAGGGAGGUGAAUGCUCAUGCUCAGAUCAUUUUCCUAUCGGAUACAGCCCCCAAAAUAGCAUGGUGUCACCCACAUUUAGUGUGUGUCUUCCCACCUCAAUGAACCCAAUCUAUGUAAUCCUUCAGAGGCAUUCCCAGAUGCUAACAUAAUCUCUCACAGGCAUGCUUCGAGGCUUGUGUCCUAAGUACAUGUAUCUUCGGGUCAAGUUGAAACACUAAUAACCACAGUACUUGGGAGGCAGGUACAAUGAGUAUGUACCUCUGUUGGGCAAUGAAGAAGACCAACUGACUAACUUUGGUAAAUCUCAAAGUUCUCAAGGUCAAUAGGAAGAGUGACUUCAUCUUUGUUCCGAUUAAUUUAUUCUAUUUAAUUCAGUGACUGAAAUAAUGAAAUCAUUCUUUAAAUGCAUCUGCAAUGAUUUCUCAAGUAUAUGAAGGGCCAAGCAUAUUUAAAGAGCUCCUGGAAUCUGGUGGAUGUUGACAGAUUUGCAAUGCUUAUUUCUGAUCUUGCAGCUUGACUUUGAUUGUAGCUCAGUUUCCAUUCACACUGCUUUAUGAAGAGUAAUUUUAUGAAGAGGUAAAAAGGGUGAUUGUGGUGUGUAGUUAAUUAGAAUUUCUAAUUAAAAUCAUCCUGAGGUUUAAAAAAAUAGGAAGCAGCCAAUGCCAAUGGAAGAGUAAUUGCUAAUCUGUAAAUUAAGGGAACUGUAUACUAUAAGUGCUUUCCUCUACUAGAGUGAAAAACACCCAGGUGCAAUUAUCAUGCCUUGAAUAAAAUACUUACCUUGGAUAAAGUUUCAAUAUACAUGGCAAAAUAGAAAAGAAUUUUAUUUUAGCAAAUGAAGCUUGGUCAAAUGCUGGGGAGUCUCUGUCACUGAUGACCAUUCUUGCUUCUCUCUCACACGCCUAUUUGAAUUUGAGCACAAAUUUAAAAUUUUCAAGUUAGAAUCUGGUAACUUUCUAGGUUGUUCAAAAUUGUAGCCCUGUGUCUAUAUGUGAGGACACAUGUCAACACCAGCCUCUAUGAGGAAGGGGGAGGAAGGUAUUUGUGUGCUCAGUAACAGGUAUGUAUAAUUCCUAGCAUCAUACUUUACAAUUCUCCUUAUAGCUUCUCACUUCCUCCAAACCCCCAUGUUUCAAUGAUAGGUGUACUGGCUGGUUUUGUGUGUCAACUUGACACAGCUUGAGUUAUCACAGAGAAAGGAGCUUCAGUUGAGGAAGUGCCUCCAUGAGAUCCAACUGUAAGGCAUUUUCUCAAUUAGUGAUCAAGGGGGAAAGGACCCUUGUGGGUGGGACCAUCACUGGGCUGGUAGUCUUAGUUCUAUAAGAGAGCAGGCUGAGCAAGCCAGAGGAAGCAAGCCAGUAAGGAACAUCCUUCCAUGGCCUCUGCAUCAGCUCCUGCUUCCUGACCUGCUUGAGUUCCAGUCCUGACUUCCUUGGUGAUGAACAGCAGUAUGGAAGUGUAAGCCAAUAUAAACCCUUUCCUCCCCAACUGCUUCUUGGUCAUGAUGUUUGUGCAGGAAUAGAAACCCUGACUAAGACAAUAGGCAUUACUUACAUAAUCUUAUGCCAUUAGCCAACGAAAAUCAGAAGCAGUUGCAGCAGGAACAGUAACAAAAAGAGCAACAGACUUGUGAAUUCACCUGCAAGGGCAUAGUGGGAGUUAGUGGUAUUUUCCUCCCUGAUUUCUGUAUUGGUGCCUUAUGGUGUCAUUCAUGGUAUUCUGUUGGUUGGCACUAAGGCAAUCUUAUGUCACUAGCCUGAUUGUUUCAGUUUCCUUAAGUCUGUUAAUUCUGCAUUUGUGGCUGAUUAAAAAAAGAAAACAUUCCCUAAACUAUCUGAUUCCUCCCUUGGGGUAUCUUUAUAAUAGUGGGCUAAGCUAUCUCUAGAAAUGAGCUAAGACAAGUGAUGAAGCAUCAGAAUUGUAUUUACUUUCUAUGUCAAACAGUACAAUAGUGAAUUUUAAAUUAAUUAGCCAUACUUUAGAUCACUUUGGGUUUAUGGCAAAGGUAAGUAGGUACGCAGUUCAACAAAUUCCCCUCACAGUUUUCAGCUGUUAAUAUUUACUCCAAUUGCCACACUAAGCUGUGCUUGUGGGGCAUUUUCAUAAACACCUAAUGUCACAUACCUACCAUUACAACAGGAUACAGAAUAAUUACAGUGCCCUGAAAUCUUUUCUGUUGUACCAGUUUACUUUCAAUCCCUCUCCUGCCCAGCUCCAAACAACCUGGGAUGGUUUAUGUUGUCCAUGGGUCUCUAUUCUCUAGAAUGUCAUGUGAUUGGAAUAAUACAGGCUCACCCUUUCAAAGCUUACAUCUUCCACUUAGUGAGGUUUAUUUAUGAUCUUCCCUGUCUUUAUGUUUGUUCAUAUAUUUCCAUGUCCAUGAGCCAAAAUCUUUUCAACACUCAACAUUUUCUAAUUGCAUGCAUGUAUCAGAGUUUAUGUUAUUUCCCAUUUACAACCCACCCACUGAAGAAUGCCUUGGUUCCUACUUUUAAGUUCUGUCAGUUCGUUAUAAAACUAUUUCAAACAUUCAUUCUUAUGAUUGUGGGAUGAUAAAUUUCUAAAUCAUCUGAGAAAACACCUAAGAACAUGGCUGCCAGAGAGUAUGAAAUGAUUAUCUUGACUAUGAAAAACAUGCAGUCCUUGGUAUUCUCCAAAGCAGUAAGAUGACCAUCAUCAGCAUCUAGCCUUGUCAGUGGCUGAGGGUUUGGUUACUGUAAUAAGUAUAAGAUGGUUGAAAUGACUUGAGAGAGGGCCCAAUGGUUAGAAGCCUGCAGUGCUCUGGCAGAGGACCAAAGUUUGGUCCCAGAACCCCUGCUAGACAGCUUCCAACCACCUGUAAGGCCAGCUCAAAGGAGAGCUAGUGUCUCCUAGAAUACCUGUAGUCACAUGCAUAUAUUCCCACGCAUAGUU